rnacentral:tRNA from 2 species
CGGGGCGUAGCGCAGUCUGGUAGCGCGCCUCGUUCGGGACGAGGAGGCCGUGGGUUCGAAUCCCGCCGCCCCGACCA